AAAUAACAAAACCAACAAUCAUCAACUAAACAUCGAUUUCGAACCAAAGGUAGAUUUGUGCAAUCAAAACUGAAUAAAUAAAAAUUAUCUUUUUAACGAAAAAAACAUCUGAGCAUACCAAACUAGGGGUGGGCACUUUACCCGAUAUCCGAAGUGGCACCCGAACCCGAUCCGAAAAAACCGAACCGAAAUCCGAACCGAAGUAGCAAAAUAUCCGAACGGGUAUUGAAUAAGGAGAGAUUGGAUACCCGAACCCGAACGGAUAAUACCCGAACCCGAAUGGAUAUCCGAAGAUAACCGAACAUAUGUAUAAUUAACCUUAUGUUUCUAGUUUAUAUCUCUCAUUUUAUAUAAAAUAUUUAUAUUGAUACUACACAUAAUUUAAGUUCAUAUGAUAUACAUACAAUUCCGGAAAAAAAGAUUUGCUACUCACUUAAAAUGCAUGUCAAGUUUUUUAUUUCAAAAAUUAACAAAAAGUUAUAUCCAAAAUUAAAAAAAAAAAUAACUAAAUUAGUGUCUUUUUAGUUUUAAAAUGUUAUGUCCAAAUCUAUUAACCAUUCAAUCUAUUAAAAAUAAAAAAAUAGUUAACUAAAAGUUAUAUUUUUAAAUACAAUAAACUUGAGAAAUGAAAAUUUUAAUAUUUUUUUUUUCAAAAUCUAAAUAUCCGAACCCGAUCCGAAAUAACCGAAUCCGAACUAAAAAUACCCGAACCCGACCUGAAGUACAGAAAUACCCGAACGGGUUCUAGACCUCUAUACCGAAAUACCCGAAAAUCCGAAAUACCCGACCCGAACCCGAACGGAUACCCGAACGCCCACCCCUA
rnacentral:lncRNA from 1 species